UUACCCUAACCCUAAACCUGAAACCUAACCCUAACUCUCACCCUAACCCCUAAUCCUAAACCUAACCCUGAAGCUUAACGCAACCCUAACCCUGAGGCCUAACCCUAACCUUAAACAUAGAUCAAUUUGGAAAUUAGAUAUGACAUGCCAUUGAGUUGGAUGUAUUGUGUUGGUCAGGAACCAGUCAUGAAGCACCUCGGAGUGACACAGGGAUAUUUAUGCCACAGGUCAUUAUCGCUGGGAGCCAUGGUGAAGGCUGUGACCCCCAGAGCCCAGAAAGAGGCACCUCUGUCUCAUUCAAAAUAGAACAGGAAAAAUUGGAUGGUUUGACUACAGAAGAUCACCAUGUCUGCAUCUUAGAGCAUUCCCACCCCAUCAUGGUGCCCCCAUUGAAAUGAGGCCGGAGGUCAAGUGAAAACAGUGGAACCCAGGCCACUUUCACUGGUACUCCAUGCCACAUCUCACCUAUUCAUGUCAAUCCACCAUCCUGAAAAUUUGCGCCUCAGAUACACAGGGCACCAGCUCACGUGCAUUGCAGAUAUCAUUCAUAGACCCCCAAUGAUGUCCCUAGGAAGAUGAUUCUGACUAUCCGAUCACUGUGCAGGUUGGGAUCCUGUCGAUAUGAGAGACACGGUGGGUUAGAUAGGUCACAGAUCUGGAAAGGCAAGCACAGAAAAUGAGGUCUGAAUUCAGCUCCGUGUCCAGAAAAGUAGGACCUUCCUUGCAUUUUCAGAGAGUUCUAGCUAUGGCAUUUUUGGCUGCGGAUGUAAAGUUUACAAGAUAACGAGGGGCAAGCAGUCAUCUGCCAAGAAGGGGCUCUGGAUAGGUCUGACUGAAGGGAGGGGCCCACGGGCUGGAAUCUUGAAAAUGUGACAUCACUUCCUUGGGGACAAGCGUGUAACGGAUUUAGAACUCUGGUAACCAGGAAGCUGCAUUGAACAAUGUCCCUCUUUCCAGCUCACUUAACUAGAGAAAAAUUUGUUCUGUUGCUGUUGCCCUACUUUCAGUGGCUCUUGGCUUAGGAGAGUCCAGAAAGAGAGAUGUUCAUGCCACUAUGGACGUCAGUUCGGCCCUCUUUCAAAAGCUUCUGGUUAUGUGCGGGAGACUUCAACAGAGCUGCACCCAGGAGAUCUUGGAGGAGAUGUUCUGUGGCUUCAACUCUUCUAACUCCCUAGACAAUGAUCAGGUGUACCAGGCAAACAAGGCACAGUGCUGUUCUGAGGUGAGAAUGGGAAGAGGGUUCUCCACAGCAAGAUGGCCACCACACAAACAUGGAGAUAAACCUGGGGCCCUCCCGUAGUGUUUCCACACGAGUGUCGCACAGGCCCAAUGCAAAGAGACCUGAACCUCCACUGCUAACCUCCGGCUACAUCUGAGGUGAUAAGGCACUGUUCCCCUAGGUUGGAAUGGUGCAGAAUAGAUUUCAUGCUUUUGAGGAGUGGGGGUGGUUUGUUUUUCACUCAGAGCACUGAGUGUCUUUGCGUUUCACUACCAUUUUCCUUAUUUCACCCACGCGCCCCAGGUAUCCUGUGUAGAACGCAGCUCCACUGUCGUUGCACAACGUCUGCAGGCCUCACAAAAAAUCACACUAAAGUGGGUGUUUUCAGACAAAAAAAAGGGUGGGAUGAAGCCAUUUCAUAUAUUUAUCCCUAAGGUGUCAUGUGCCAGAACACAUCAGAUAAUUACAGGCCCAACGGGUCAUGAACUGUGUCCGUAGAGGUACUCGUAGUACUCCAUCAAUGGGGCCGUCUGCCACAGUGAUUCAGCCAUUGAAGGCCCUUGGCACUUGACAUGAUGGCAUUCUCUUGCCAUGUCUGCCGUGCUGCAAGGAGCACCGUGGGUGUCCCCACAGACUGUUUAAGUUGCUAGAUCUGCCAUAUCCUGGAUGUCCAGUUUGGGUGGAUGCCCUCUGAUGCCGCCUGACCCAAGUGGCUGGCUCUGUCUUUUUUGUGGAGAUCCACACAGGAAAUCUUGGAUGAGUUGCUCCAAGCGUUCAAUUACUCCAUCUACCCCCGAGAAGCACAGGUGCAUCAGGCCACCGACUACAAGAAUGGCCAGUCUGGGCUGAGAACAAGUCCCAUUCAUGGUGAAAGUCAGGACCCAGAGAUGAUCAGGUUGGAUGUUUAUGGAUGACUCCAUGGAAUACUCGUCUUCAUAAAAGCUCUGAGUUGAGAGAAUGCGAGUGUUGCUCAGCUAUUCAUGUGUGUGGAAGUUUCCAUUGCUCUACCCUGCGUCCCAACCAACCAAUGGUACUUUGAAGCCUAAAACCUUUUUCUCUGUGGGUCCUGAAAUUCUUUUUCCUGUACAACUUCCUGAGGGGAUGGGUGUCUCUGGGCUGAGCGCCAGACUCUGAUCUUCCCAGUGGCUUGUGGCUUGGAAGCUGACUACAGUGCCCCUCCUUGUGCCUCUGGUGUGGAAAGGAAUCAUCCACCCUGACCACAGAUGAGGCCUGGAGCAUGAGGACUCACCGCAAAGGCAGAAUGGAUACUUUUGUACAGUCCCUGCUGCGAUCCUUCCAGAAGAGGAGCCUCUCAGAAAACGCAGUCGUUUUCCCUGUCUACCAGGUGUUCAGCGAAGCCCAAAGGGUCCUGGGCCAGCAGCUCCACAGGAAAAGAAGAGAAAGAUACUGGAACGCUUUGGACUCCUUUGAUAUUCUACAUUAACAUUUCCUCUCCAAGUUUUAUAUAUUAAGUAAAAAUAAUUGCCA